rnacentral:rRNA from 1 species
UACAGAGGUCUCAAGCGUUGUUCGGAUUCAUUGGGCGUAAAGGGGUGCGUAGGCGGCGCGGUAAGUCGGGUGUGAAAUCUCGGGGCUUAACUCCGAAACUGCAUUCGAUACUGCCGUGCUUGAGGACUGGAGAGGAGACUGGAAUUUACGGUGUAGCGGUGAAAUGCGUAGAUAUCGUAAGGAAGACCAGUGGCGAAGGCGGGUCUCUGGACAGUUCCUGACGCUGAG